rnacentral:rRNA from 1 species
CCUACGGGAGGGAGGCAGCAGUGSGGAAUAUUGCACAAUGGGAGGAAGCCUGAUGCAGCGAUCGCCGCGUGAGGGAUGACGGCCUUCGGGUUGUAAACCUCUUUCAGCAGGGAAGAAGCGRGAGUGACGGUACCUGCAGAAGAAGSGCCGGCUAACUACGUGCCAGCAGCCGCGGUAAU